UACGUAGGGUGCAAGCGUUAAUCGGAAUUACUGGGCGUAAAGCGUGCGCAGGCGGUUUCGUAAGUCUGUCGUGAAAUCCCCGGGCUUAACCUGGGAAUGGCGAUGGAGACUGCGAGGCUAGAGUUUGGCAGAGGGGGGUAGAAUUCCACGUGUAGCAGUGAAAUGCGUAGAGAUGUGGAGGAACACCGAUGGCGAAGGCAAUCCCCUGGACCUGUACUGACGCUCAUGCACGAAAGCGUGGGGAGCAAACAGG
rnacentral:rRNA from 1 species